rnacentral:rRNA from 1 species
CCUACGGGAGGCAGCAGUCGAGAAUCAUUCACAAUGGGGGAAACCCUGAUGGUGCGACGCCGCGUGGGGGAAUGAAGGUCUUCGGAUUGUAAACCCCUGUCAUGUGGGAGCAAAUUAAAAAGAUAGUACCACAAGAGGAAGAGACGGCUAACUCUGUGCCAGCAGCCGCGGUAAUACAGAGGUCUCAAGCGUUGUUCGGAAGCACUGGGCGUAAAGCGUGCGUAGGCUGUUUGGUAAGUCGUGUGUGAAAGGCGCGGGCUCAACCCGCGGACGGCACAUGAUACUGCGAGACUAGAGUAAGGGAGGGGGAACCGGAAUUCUCGGUGUAGCAGUGAAAUGCGUAGAUAUCGAGAGGAACACUCGUGGCGAAGGCGAGUUCCUGGACAUUAACUGACGCUGAGGCACGAAGGCCAGGGGAGCGAAAGGGAUUAGAUACCCCAGUAGUC